UACGGGGGGGGCAAGCGUUGUUCGGAUUUACUGGGCGUAAAGGGCUCGUAGGCGGCCAACUAAGUCGGAUGUGAAAUCCCCAGGCUCAACCUGGGAACUGCAUCCGAUACUGGAUGGCUUGAAUUCGGGAGAGGGAUGCAGAAUUCCAGGUGUAGCGGUGAAAUGCGUAGAUAUCUGGAGGAAUACCGGUGGCGAAGGCGGCAGCCUGGACCGACAUUGACGCUGAGGAGCGAAAGCUAGGGGAGCAAACGGG
rnacentral:rRNA from 1 species